rnacentral:lncRNA from 1 species
GCAGUUCCCCGCCGGCUACUUUAGGGCUGGGGUGAGGAGUAGGCGGCUGCAGGGGGCCCUCAGGCCUUCCGCCCUCCGGGUUCUCGGAGGCCCCAGCGAUCUGGGUGGUUCCAGAGGGUGGCGUCCUGCUCCUCCCCGUGCCCAGCACAGGGCGUGUAACGAGUGGGGAGGGUCUGGCCUGAGCACUUCCCGGCGCGCGGCCACCUCUGCGGCCCCAUCCCCCGACUGGUCCUCCGGUCCCGACGCUGCUCUUGCCCCGGGCAGGGGCGGCCGGCCCAGCCCAGCUUUCCCUGUCUCACACCUCCAGGGCCACACCCUCUGGUCUAGGUACCUCAGACACCCGAGGCUGGGAUAGUGCUGGCAUGUGGGUCCCUGGAAAUCUGAGUUCCGCCAGAGGUUCUUUCAGAAAAUAACUUUUUUCUUAUAAAAGCAACACGAGCUUUUUGUAGGAAAAUUGAAAAAUGCAGAAAACUAUGAAAAAGAAAAGAUCCCACCCCAGAGAUAAUCUAUUUCCUACCUAGAUAGGCGUUUGACAAAAAUGGCUUUGUAUUGUUUUGUAGUAUGCUUACAUUUUAUUCUGUUUUCCCGUGCCACCAAAUAUCCUUCCAAAACAAUUGUACUGAUUGCAUGAUGUUUCAAAAUUAAAGGCACCAUAAUUAAUUUCCCCAACCUUUUCAUUGUUCAACAUUUUAUACACUCAGAUCUUCAGAUUCCAAGUCCACCACAAUUAAUGUGGGCUCCUUUCUCCGGCCUCUGUUCCAGUGUAAUAUGUCAGGCUCCAGAAUAAUCUUCCUCAGAUGUCAUUGUCCACUGUCCACUAAGAACAUUUAGUGGUGGCUUUGCCUUGAGUGUCAAAUCCCUUAAGAAUUACCUUGGGCUCUCCCCUAUUUCUUUUCUUUUUCUUUUUUAUU